rnacentral:misc_RNA from 1 species
AACGCACAUUGCGCCCGUCAGUAUUCUGGCGGGCAUGCCUGUUCGAGCGUCAUUUCGACCCUUAAGCCCUGUUGCUUAGUGUUGGGGGCCCGCCGUGGCAGCCCCCCAAAGCCAUUGGCGGCGUCGGCUCCUCGCCCCGGAUGCAGUAGAUCUCUCUCGUCCGCGGCCGGGCCGGUCGCCUGCCGUAAAACGCCCAAAUUCUUUGGUUGACCUCGGAUCAGGUAGGAGUACCCGCUGAACUUAA